ACAUGUGAAUCAGGAUUCAAAGUCAUCGGGCGUUUCCAGAAAGUCAUCAGAGAGAACCGACCCCUCGCUCUGAUCCAGGGACAAGUUCAUGUCGGGGGCCACCAAGGUGCGACGUUUACGCUGGGCUACUGACUCUCCCACAUUCAGAGAGUGAGGCCACAUGAAGAAUCAACAUCUCCAUCUUCUGGUAGUGGCCUGCAGAGGAAAACAUAAAUACACAACAUGUACAAGUACAAUGAUGACAUAGAAAUGAAAUUACAUAUAUAGUUCCAUUUUUUGGUCUAUUGGUUUCUUCUUAAGUUAAUGGUUGUUUUGGUAUCUUUAAAAGUCUAAUCAUAAGCAUUAACAUGAUAAAUGACGCUAAAAUAAAGUAUCAGCAGUCAUUCCUGGCAUUUUGCUCGUUGUCCUUUGUUUUUGGAGAAGCUCUGUUGUGAUUUAACUACAGAGUGUCCUUGGAAACAGUUGCAGUAAUUACCACUCCCCUCUGACAUUACAGUAUAAUAAAGCAGCUGAACUCUCAGCGCUGAGCGACGAGGGGACUAGAUUUUAGUAGAUAGCACUCUUAAGAACACACCCACACACAGACAAAGACAAAGACAUUAACACAAGAAUGCAUACACAGACAUUGACACACCCUAAAACCCCACAAGUAUGGGCUUGCUGAUGGAGCUGUUGGGAUAAUUGCUGUUAUUAUGUUGUCAGUAGCUUUGUAGAGGUAAG